UACGUAGGGACCAAGCGUUGUUCGGAUUUACUGGGCGUAAAGGGCGCGUAGGCGGCGUGUUAAGUCACUUGUGAAAUCUCUAAGCUUAACUUAGAACGGUCAAGUGAUACUGAUGUGCUAGAGUGCAGAAGGGGCAACCGGAAUUCUUGGUGUAGCGGUGAAAUGCGUAGAUAUCAAGAGGAACACCUGAGGUGAAGACGGGUCUCUGGGCAUCUCCUGACGCUGAGGCGCGAAAGCGUGGGGAGCAAACGGG
rnacentral:rRNA from 1 species